rnacentral:lncRNA from 1 species
GUUAAGAUGACUGGUGAUUUCAUGAGUUAAACGUGCCAAGCGCUUAGAAGUGUGUCAGCACAUUGUGACACUCAACAAACUUCAUUAGUGUUUCCACCAGUCUGCUGCCUGAACCGGCCAAGAGGACCACCUGCAUCCCUGCGCACAGUACAGAGAGCUCAGAGUUGAGGAAGGUGUGGGCCCGGUUUGCUAUGGGGGCAGUGAGGGGUGAGAAGAGGCCCUGGGGAAACUCUGGAGUGCUUAUUGAGUAUUUUGUGCCACCCCGGGAAUAAAGAGAUCAAGAAGACCCAGCCCUGGAAGCAAGAAGACAGGCAGAGAGGCGAAGGAGUGGGCUCCCGAUAAGAGGAUGAAUUCAGCCCUCCUUCCUCUUCUUUCACGUGUUCUCUUGCCCUUCCACCCUCCACCAUGGGAUGACACACCAAGAAGGCCUUCACCAGAUGUGGGCCCUUGACCUUGGACUUCCCAGCCUCCAGAACUAAGGAGAAACCAACUCCAAGUUCUUAUUGGAAUAUUUACAGGGUACUGGAGGGGCUCACAGUAUUAAGGAGAAGACUCCGGCAGCCUCUGAAAGAAAGAAAACUAGGGAAGCUCUGGAAACACCAAUAAACGACCUCUGUCUAGGACGCUGCUGGUGGAUGACUCAAUGUGAUGGUUCAUUUCAUGUGUCAGCUUGGAUGGGCUAUAGGGUGCAGGUAUUGGGUCAAACAUUAUUCUAGAUGUAUCUGUGAAGCUCUAUUUUAGAUGAGAUAGACACUGAAAUGGGUGAACUUUGAGUAAAGAAGAGCACUCGCUAUAAUGUGGGUGAGCCUCUUCCAAUCAGGUGAAGACCUUAGCAGAAAAAAAACUGACUGUAGGCGUCCCAAUCUC